AGUUCUGAAGAUCUCAUCUUCUCCCUUCCGUCUCAACACUAACGGCGCCGGAGAAGUCGUCUUCUUCGAGCGGCCGCAUCCAUACGUCACCGCCGCCACAAUUCACAUAACCGACCACCUUCAUCUCUUCCUUCGAUCUCUCAAUUUCGUUUCCUCUCCGACGUCUCUCACUCUCAGGCUUUCUUCAUCUCUCGAUCAAGCUCUCCGCUUCCAUCUCUCUCAGAAGACCGACGCAGAUGAAGAACUCUUUUCUUCAAUUGAACCUUAUGUAUGCGUUAAAUCGCCGCUGAUGCCGAGGUGAUGAAGCAACGGCAGAUUGAUGGCUGGAGAUUGAAGGUUUCUUGAAGAUUGAAUCGCGAAGAGUGAUACGGAGACGAUGCCGCUCCUCUUGAUUCUUCACGUGGAUGAAGAUUGUUGAUGACUAUUACGUGAAGGUUCAGAGAGAUUCCUCGAUCGAGAGCAACUCGUUAUGAUUAUGAAGGAAGAGAGAAGAUGAAGAUGGUGAAUGGAAGGUGAUGAAGAUUGAAGCUGUGAUGAAGACGAUGAAGGAUCAAGAAUGGAGUGUGAUUGAGGAUUCCGAAUUGGUGAUUGAAGAAGAGAGAUUUUUUUCAGAGUUUGUUACAGGUGAUGGCUGAAGGGUGAAGAAGAAGGGUGAAAGAAGAUGUGUGAAGGUUUUCUUUGAAGAUGAUGAAGAGAUAAGAAGAGUUUAUGGUGAUUGAAUGAACAAAUGGUGGAGAAGGAUGAAGAUGGUGAGAAAAAUAAAGAGAGAAUCGAGAGAGAGCUCAGAGAUGAAGAAUGAACUGUUAUAUAGAAUUUUCGGUAUCUAUGGAGUUGAUGUGGGACUGGUGUGGUUCUGGAAGUGAAGAAGAAUUGGUGACUUAGAGCUUUGAUCAUGGAGAAAGAAAGUGAUAAAGAUUUUGAAAAGUGAUAGGUUUAGGAGAGUCAACUUGUAAAAGAAAGUCAAAGGGUCAAUUGUAUUCUUAUUGUAACUUUCUAUGUAAUUCUAUUUGGAUUUUUGUAAUGGAUUUUGAAUGGAACUUGAAUGGAUAAUUGUAA